rnacentral:rRNA from 2 species
AAAUUGAAGAGUUUGAUCAUGGCUCAGAUUGAACGCUGGCGGCAGGCCUAACACAUGCAAGUCGAACGGUAGCACAGAGGAGCUUGCUCCUUGGGUGACGAGUGGCGGACGGGUGAGUAAUGUCUGGGAAACUGCC